GACGUAGGGCGCGAGCGUUGUCCGGAUUUAUUGGGCGUAAAGAGCUCGUAGGCGGCUUGUCGCGUCGACUGUGAAAACCCGCGGCUCAACUGCGGGCCUGCAGCCGAUACGGGCAGGCUAGAGUUCGGUAGGGGAGACUGGAAUUCCUGGUGUAGCGGUGAAAUGCGCAGAUAUCAGGUGGAACACCGGUGGCGAAGGCGGUGGUCUGGGCCGGCACUGACGCUGAAUUGCGAAAGCGUGGGGAGCAAACAGG
rnacentral:rRNA from 1 species